rnacentral:misc_RNA from 1 species
AGGGAUCAUUUGAGAAUUGGGGAUGCUCUGGCCAGGCUGUAUGGCCUGGUCGGGUGGACCUGCAACUUGGACUGGACUGGUAUGGUCGUGGAUUCGGCCCGUGGUGGCAGUGACUGGUGACAGCGCUGUGCCUAUUGAUGAGUCACGUGAUGCUGCCCCACCGCUUCGUGCAAACGAAGCGCCGGCGAAAAAGAGAACGAUGAAUAUACAAAUCCAUACAACUUUUGGCAAUGGAUCUCUUGGUUCUC